GACGAACGCUGGCGGCGUGCCUAAUACAUGCAAGUAGAACGCUGAAGGAAGGAGCUCGCUCUUUCUGGAUGAGUUGCGAACGGGUGAGUAACGCGUAGGUAACCUGCCUGGUAGCGGGGGAUAACUAUUGGAAACGAUAGCUAAUACCGCAUAAAAUUGAUUAUUGCAUGAUAGUCAAUUAAAAGGUGCAACUGCACCACUACCAGAUGGACCUGCGUUGUAUUAGCUAGUUGGUGGGGUAACGGCUCACCAAGGCGACGAUACAUAGCCGACCUGAGAGGGUGAUCGGCCACACUGGGACUGAGACACGGCCCAGACUCCUACGGGAGGCAGCAGUAGGGAAUCUUCGGCAAUGGACGGAAGUCUGACCGAGCAACGCCGCGUGAGUGAAGAAGGUUUUCGGAUCGUAAAGCUCUGUUGUAAGAGAAGAACGAGUGUGAGAGUGGAAAGUUCACACUGUGACGGUAGCUUACCAGAAAGGGACGGCUAACUACGUG
rnacentral:rRNA from 1 species